AUGAACGCUAGCUACAGGCUUAACACAUGCAAGUCGAGGGGCAGCAUGGUCUUAGCUUGCUAAGGCCGAUGGCGACCGGCGCACGGGUGAGUAACACGUAUCCAACCUGCCGUCUACUCUUGGACAGCCUUCUGAAAGGAAGAUUAAUACAAGAUGGCAUCAUGAGUCCGCAUGUUCACAUGAUUAAAGAUUUAUCGGUGUACGAUGGGGAUGCGUUCCAUUAGGUAGUAGGCGGGGUAACGGCCCACCUAGCCUACGAUGGAUAGGGGUUCUGAGAGGAAGGUCCCCCACAUUGGAACUGAGACACGGUCCAAACUCCUACGGGAGGCAGCAGUGAGGAAUAUUGGUCAAUGGACGAGAGUCUGAACCAGCCAAGUAGCGUGAAGGAUGAAGGUCCUACGGAUUGUAAACUUCUUUAUAAGGGAAUAAAACCUCCCACGUGUGGGAGCUUGUAUGUACCUUAUGAAUAAGCAUCGGCUAACUCCGUG
rnacentral:rRNA from 1 species